rnacentral:lncRNA from 1 species
UCAUACAGCGAGGUAGGCAAGAAGGGCCAAAGCAGUCGCACUUAGCUGAGCGGCUCUAACUACAUCCCCUCUGCGUUUGCGUCCGCUGCCCCAAAUCCUUCUUAACGAGAGGCUAUUCGGCAAAUACCGCUUUGGCCUCGACCUCACGGCCUUGACAUGAAGCACUUCGUCAUCUAUUAACUUCUGACCGCGAGAAACCGUUGGUCGUUGCCGGCACACAUCGAGUGAUUUCCGGUCCCCACCGGUCGUACGCAGUGAUGCACAAGGUCUCUCAAUCAUCUCUCCCCCUGGCUUUUAAUUGUCUUUUGAGAGAGGAUCACGGCCCUGUAGAUGGCGGCCCCCCUCACGCUGGGCGC